AACUGAUGAGAGGAGCCCAGUACUUGGCUUUUUAGGGUUUCACCUAAUAGUCGUCACACCUCUUUCUCUCUCAUCAGUCCCUCUCUCCCUCCUCUCAUCUCCUCCUCACCAUUCACCGGCCUCUUUCUCUCAUUUCAAACUCAGGUGGUCAGGCCCUCUCUCCUCUCCUCCAUCAAUCUUCCCCUUAACAACAAGUGAAGACCUUUGGAAUAUCUCCCUGGUUUUUUCCUCUUCUUGAAUUGAUUUCUGGGCAUCUAAUUGUUUAAAUUCUUGAAUUUGUUCUUGUGAAUUCUAAUUUGCUUUAUUUUUUUCAACAUGCAAUUUGUAUUUGAUUCAAUUUUGGCAUUUAUAUGGUUCAAUUAUCCUUUGUAUGUCUAAACGAAUAAUAAAUCUAAAAAAAAUAUGUUCUUCAAUUGAAACGGGUAAUACAUGCAAUCAGUAAUGAAUUUAGUUCAUCUUUGUCGAUUAAUACCUGAUUGCCGAGUUUUUUUGUAAUUUUUUAUGUUUAUAGAGAGAAUUAAGAAACCCGAUAUGACAUGUUGAUUAAUUCUAGGGUUCUUCGAGUUCUUUACCAAAUAGGGUUCCAGGGUUUUGUUAAGCGUAUGACUUGCAUUUUUCAAUCCUUGCACUAAUCUAAAUCACUAGUUUCUGAUUUUUUUUUAAAAAAAAAAAGAACUUUAGAGGCUGCCUUCGAUUUGGAUUUGGGUAUGUGUCACAUUUGUACUACUAUUUUCAUCUCUAGUUAUUGAUGAAUAAAAGGCUUAUUUUAUGUGAAUUAUGUCUAUUCCUUUUAGCAGUUAAUGAUCGAUUGUCAAUUUAAUCACUGGUAGAUCAAUUUUCUGUAGUUGAUGGAAGCUCAUGAAAUGUUACUAUAUAUGUUAGUCCCUGAAACAGAUGAUAGCAGAUAAUAUGUUAAGCUAUUGCAAUGUCAGUCUUUCAAACACUUUGAAUAUAUUAUUAGAUUAUUGUUCUAUCAUGUCUAAUAUUGGUAUAGAUAAUAUGUUAAGUUAAUCCUGUUCAUUGGAUGAGCUGCACAAGUUUGAUAUGGUGAAAAUUAGUUGCGCGUGUUGGUACAUACAUACAAUGUGAAACUUAGUUGCUCGUGUUGGAAGAUACAUUGUGAGAAUUAGUUAGUUGCUCGUGUUGGUACAUACUGCUGCUUGAAAAUUAGUUAGUUGCUUGUGUUGGUACAUACAUUGUGAAAAUUAGUUGCUUGUGUUGGUACAUAAUGCUGCCUGAAAAUUAGUUAGUUGCUAGUGUGGUUGAAACAAGCAUUGUAAAAAAUAAGCUGUUUGUGUUAGUGCUUAUGUUGUGAAAAUUUGUUGAUUGUGUUGAUACAAACAUUUGUUAUUGUUGUUAUCCUGUUGUAAACCUUAUCAGAAAUGAUAAUGUGAAUCUGCAAAUAAGACUUAGCUACUUGUCUUGCUUGAAUAACAAGUUAGUUUAUCUGAAUAUUACUAUUAUGAGCUGCAAUAAAUAUGAGUUGUUUUCUUGGUUUGAUUAAUGUCAUGUGGUUACUGGAGAUAUGAUCACAAAAUGGUUCAACUAGAACUUGCUAAUUAGCUUUUACAGCAAAAUAAGAGAAUAAUAUGAGUUGGAUUUGUUUUAGCAAAUUUCUUGUUUUAAUGUUAUCUUGAAGCAGUUAUAUUACUUAGAUAUCAAAUGUCAAACCUGCAUAGUUUUGCAAUUAAUGUAAUUACAUCAAUUGUUGGCUGCAUGAAGUGUAGCAGAUUGUAGGUUGAGCUACAUGAUCAGUACUCAUCAGGAAUGAAACCAAGUUUAUCAGUAAUAGGUCAUUUACUGCAUUAAGUUGAGCUAUGUGAGUAGAUUGUUAGAAUCCUAGUUCUAAAUUCUAAGUGUGGUAUCAGUUUAUAAAGUGUGCUUGUUAGGAUUCCAUUUGACAUUUUUAGAAUGAAUGAAUGGUUUAUUGUGUCUAAUUCUUGUAAAAUCAUAGAAGUUGUUUCCAAUUUAUUUUCUCUCUUUUGUGUGGUUAGUUAAUUAGUUAUAUUGAGCUUAUUUUAUUUGCAUGUCCACAUCAAUCUUUCAGCACGCAGAUACCUCUCAAUGUAGACUGAUCUUGUCCAUGAACCACCAUCUCUAUAUAUAAGAGGCAACUAUGACACUUAGUCACGUUGUUUUGCUAUAUUUUAUACAUAAAGUGUUGACAAGUAAUCACAUAUGGCACACUUAGUUAUUUUGUUUUGCUUUAUUUUUUAUUUUUUUUUCUCUCUUUUGUGUGGUUAGUGUUGACAAGUAACCCCUUAGCCUUCCUCCCGACCCUCUAACCAGGAAUCUUUCCUACAGUAUGCUCAUCUGUGAAACUUGUAUUGUGAUGCGUGGUGGUGUCAAUUCCAUUCAACACAAGCAUUGAGCUUGUGAUGCAGGGCACUAGUAUUCUAGGGGCAGAGAGCCACCCACUUCACCUUUAUGGGUUUAACUUCUUUGUUGUUGGACAAGGAUUCAGAAACUUCGAUUCUAAAAAAGACCCUGCUAAGUACAACCUUGUAAAUCCUGUUGAGAGGAACAUAGUUGGUGUGCCUGCAGAAGGGUGGGUUGCCAUUUGAUUUCUUGCAGACGAUCCAGGUGCAAUAAGCGUGAAAUCCAUAAUCUUGCAAGAUUCAUCUCUAUUAUGAAAUUUCAUCCAUUGUCUUGGCGAACUGCUCAUCCUUAUGUGCUAGCAGACCGUUUUGAAGAUGUCACUCCACCAGAGAGAGUGCAGCUAGACAAGAAAUGUGACAGGAAUGUCACAGUUUAUGGUUAUUUGUGGGCUAGACGGUCUUUUACUGAUAGGUCAUGAAAAUUGCGGACAGCGGAGCUGAUAUUGUUCGAUUAACAAUGCACAAAUGGCAAUUAAUAUGGAGGGGGAUAUUAUCAAGCACAACACCAUUCCGGAUUGCGCCGAGAAUGCCUUCGAAAUUGAUAUGGAACUCAAGUAGAGCAUGCUUUUAUUUUAUAUUUUGUAAUUGUUGGGGUUACCUUGUUGGAAUAGUUUCUAUAACUCCCCUGAACUUGUUGAUUUGAUUAAUUUUUUUUUUUGAAUAAUGUUGAUUUGAUUAAUUAAGUAA